rnacentral:rRNA from 1 species
UGCCAGCCGCCGCGGUAAUACGAAGGGGGCUAGCGUUGUUCGGAAUCACUGGGCGUAAAGCGCGCGUAGGCGGACUAUUAAGUCAGGGGUGAAAUCCCGAGGCUCAACCUCGGAACUGCCUUUGAUACUGACGGUCUCGAGUCCGGGAGAGGUGAGUGGAACUCCUAGUGUAGAGGUGAAAUUCGUAGAUAUCGGGAGGAAUACCGGUGGCGAAGGCGACCACCUGGCCAGAUACUGACGCUGAGAUGCGAAAGCGUGGGGAGCAAACAGGAUUAGAUA